UAUAUACUCCCUCCGUCCGGAAAUACUUGUCAUCAAAAUGGAUAAAAGGGCUGUAUCUAGAUGUAUUUUAGUUUUAGAUACAUCCCUUUUUGUCCAUUUUGAUGACAAGUAUUUUCGGACGGAGGGAGUAUAAU
rnacentral:pre_miRNA from 1 species